rnacentral:tRNA from 1 species
UCCCUGGUGGUCAAGUGGCUAAGACUCGGUCCUGUCAAUGCAGGGGGCCAGGGUUCAAUCCCUAGUCAGGGAA